UACGGAGGGUGCGAGCGUUGUCCGGAAUCACUGGGCGUAAAGGGCGCGUAGGUGGCGCGACAAGUCAACGGUGAAAGCUCGACGCUCAACGUCGAGUCGGCCGUCGAUACUGCCGCGCUGGAGCACUGUAGAGGCUCAUGGAAUUCCGGGUGUAGCGGUGGAAUGCGUAGAGAUCGGGAGGAACAUCCGUGGCGAAGGCGACUACCUGGACCAGCACUGACACUGAGGCACGAAAGCGUGGGGAGCAAACAGG
rnacentral:rRNA from 1 species